GACGAAGGGGGCUAGCGUUGUUUCGGAAUUAUACUGGGCGUAAAGCGCGUGUAGGCGGUUGCCCAAGUCGGGUGUGAAAGCCUUGAGCUCAACUCAGACGACGCCACCCGAUACUGUUGUGACUUGAGUCCGGUAGGGGAGUAUGGAAUUCCCGGUGUAGCGGUGAAAUGCGCAGAUAUCGGGAGGAACACCAGUGGCGAAGGCGGUACUCUGGGCCGGAACUGACGCUGAGGAGCGAAAGCGUGGGUAGCGAACAGG
rnacentral:rRNA from 1 species